CCUACGGGAGGCAGCAGUGAGGAAUAUUGGUCAAUGGACGCAAGUCUGAACCAGCCAUGCCGCGUGCAGGAAGACGGCUCUAUGAGUUGUAAACUGCUUUUGUACGAGGGUAAACGCAGAUACGCGUAUCUGUCUGCACGUAUCGUUCGAAUAAGGAUCGGCUAACUCCGUGCCAGCAGCCGCGGUAAUCCGGAGGAUUCAAGCGUUAUCCGGAUUUAUUGGGUUUAAAGGGUGCGUAGGCGGUCGGAUAAGUUAGAGGUGAAAUCCCGAGGCUCAACUUCGGAAUUGCCUCUGAUACUGUUCGGCUAGAGAGUAGUUGCGGUAGGCGGAAUGUAUGGUGUAGCGGUGAAAUGCUUAGAGAUCAUACAGAACACCGAUUGCGAAGGCAGCUUACCAAGCUACUUCUGACGUUGAGGCACGAAAGCGUGGGGAGCAAACAGGAUUAGAUACCCGUGUAGUC
rnacentral:rRNA from 1 species